rnacentral:rRNA from 1 species
AACGAACGCUGGCGGCAUGCCUAACACAUGCAAGUCGAACGAGACCUUCGGGUCUAGUGGCGCACGGGUGCGUAACGCGUGGGAACCUGCCCUUAGGUUCGGAAUAACUCCCCGAAAGGGGUGCUAAUACCGGAUAAUGUCUUCGGACCAAAGAUUUAUCGCCUUUGGAUGGGCCCGCGUUGGAUUAGCUAGUUGGUAGGGUAAAAGCCUACCAAGGCGACGAUCCAUAGCUGGUCUGAGAGGAUGAUCAGCCACACUGGGACUGAGACACGGCCCAGACUACUACGGGAGGCAGCAGUGGGGAAUAUUGGACAAUGGGCGAAAGCCUGAUCCAGCAAGGCCGGGUGAGUGAUGAAGGCCUUAGGGUUGUAAAGCUCUUUUACACGGGAUGAUAAUGACAGUACCGGGAGAAUAAGCUCCGGCUAACUCCGUG